CGUGCGGGCGUGCGGAUUUGCGGUUCUAUAAAUAGAUGGGCCAAGUCUCUCUCCACUCCCGCGCGCCGUCCAUCCAAUCUCUCCGCCUCAUUUCAGUUGACUCUCUCCACUUCCGCCACUCUCCCGCCCGCAUCAGCACCGGCACCGGCACCGGCACCGGCACCCGCCGCCGCCGCCUCUCCGUCCUCCGCUUCGCUCUCCGUCCGCCUCCGGUCAGAGCUAUGGCGUCCCACAUCGUUGGCUAUCCUCGCAUGGGGCCCAAGAGAGAGCUGAAGUUCGCGCUGGAGUCUUUCUGGGAUAGGAAGAGCAGUGCUGAGGAGUUGCAGAAGGUGGCAGCUGACCUGAGGGCAUCGAUAUGGAAGCAGAUGGCUUCUGCCGGAAUCAAAUACAUUCCCAGCAAUACUUUCUCUUACUAUGAUCAGGUGUUAGAUACCACAGCUAUGCUGGGUGCUGUUCCUCCCAGAUAUGGCUGGAAUGGGGUGAGAUUGAAUUUGACACCUACUUCUCCAUGGCGAGGGGUAAUGCCUCUGUCCCAGCUAUGGAAAUGACCAAGUGGUUCGACACCAACUACCACUAUAUUGUCCCUGAGCUAGGACCAGAUGUUAAGUUCUCUUAUGCAUCUCAUAAGGCAGUUGAUGAGUUCAAGGAGGCCAGAGCUCUUGGAGUUGAUACGGUUCCAGUCCUUGUUGGCCCUGUUUCCUACUUGUUGCUUUCCAAACCUGCCAAGGGUGUUGAGAAAUCCUUUUCUCUUCUCUCCCUUAUCGGAAAGAUUGUUCCAAUCUACAAGGAGGUUAUUGCUGAACUGAAGGCAGCAGGUGCCACCUGGAUACAGUUUGAUGAGCCAACUCUUGUGAAGGAUCUCGAUUCUCACCAAUUGCAAGCAUUUACUCAUGCCUACUCAGAGCUAGAGUCAUCCCUGUCUGGCCUGAGUAUUCUUAUCGAGACAUACUUUGCUGACGUGCCUGCAGAGGCGUACAAGACACUCACCUCUUUGAAAGGCAUUGCAGGCUUUGGAUUUGACCUAGUUCGUGGAACGAAGACCCUAGAUUUGGUUAAAGGUGGAUUUCCUUCUGGAAAAUAUCUUUUUGCUGGAGUAGUAGAUGGAAGAAACAUUUGGGCUAACGAUCUGGAUUCAUCUCUCAAAACCCUGCAGGCCCUUGAGGGCGUCGUUGGAAAAGAUAAGGUCGUUGUUUCAACAUCCUGUUCUCUUCUUCACACUGCCGUGGACCUAGUAAAUGAAACUAAAUUGGAUAAAGAGAUCAAGUCAUGGCUUGCAUUUGCUGCUCAAAAAGUUGUUGAAGUAAAUGCCUUGGCCCAGGCAUUAUUUGGACUGAAGGAUGAGACUGUUUUCUCUGCAAAUGCUGCCGCCCUAGCUUCGAGAAAGUCAUCCCCGAGGGUGACAAAUGAGGCUGUCCAAAAGGCUGCUGCUGCUCUAAAGGGCUCUGAUCACCGCCGGGCCACAAAUGUGAGUGCCAGGCUAGAUGCUCAGCAGAAGAAACUGAACCUUCCAAUUCUUCCCACCACCACCAUCGGCUCAUUCCCUCAGACAAUGGAGCUUAGAAAAGUACGCAGGGAAUACAAGGCCAAAAAGAUUUCCGAGGAUGAUUAUGUCAAGGCUAUCAAGGAGGAGAUCAGCAAAGUUGUCAAGCUUCAGGAAGAGCUUGACAUUGAUGUUUUGGUACAUGGAGAGCCUGAGAGGAAUGAUAUGGUUGAGUACUUUGGGGAGCAAUUGUCUGGUUUUGCCUUCACUGUCAAUGGGUGGGUACAAUCUUACGGGUCACGAUGUGUUAAACCACCUAUCAUCUAUGGUGAUGUCAGCCGUCCCAAGGCUAUGACAGUCUUUUGGUCUUCAAUGGCUCAAAGCAUGACAAAACGUCCCAUGAAGGGAAUGCUCACUGGUCCUGUUACCAUUCUGAACUGGUCUUUUGUAAGAAAUGACCAACCAAGAUUUGAAACCUGCUAUCAAAUUGCUCUGGCUAUUAAGGACGAGGUUGAGGAUCUUGAGAAAGCCGGUGUCACUGUUAUUCAAAUUGAUGAGGCUGCAUUAAGAGAGGGUUUGCCUCUUAGGAAGUCCGAGCAGGCUUUCUAUCUUGACUGGGCUGUUCAUUCAUUCAGGAUCACUAAUUGUGGUGUUAAAGAUACUACCCAGAUCCAUACUCACAUGUGCUAUUCAAAUUUCAAUGACAUCAUCCACUCGAUAAUCAACAUGGAUGCUGAUGUGAUCACCAUUGAGAACUCCAGAUCAGAUGAGAAGCUGCUCUCAGUUUUCCGUGAAGGAGUGAAAUAUGGUGCUGGCAUUGGUCCGGGUGUCUAUGACAUUCAUUCGCCCAGAAUUCCAUCCACAGAAGAAAUUGCUGAUAGAAUUAACAAGAUGCUUGCGGUCCUUGAGAGCAACAUUCUUUGGGUCAACCCCGAUUGUGGCCUCAAAACCCGCAAAUACUCUGAAGUUAAGCCUGCUUUGAGCAACAUGGUUGCCGCCGCCAAGCUCCUCCGCAGCCAGCUUGCCAGUGCUAAGUGAGUUUACUAGGUAAUUAUGAGAUGUUAGUGAUCCUUGUGAUGUGAAGGUUCCGUCGAAAGCUCAAAUAAGUGGCCCCCCCUCCCUUCCUUUUUUAGCGAGAUGAACAUUCCACAUUUUUGUCUUUGUUUUUUUUUCUUCACGUUUCACAAGUUGGUCAUGUAUACAGAGUACUCGUACUUGUACUGGAGUAGGUUUUCUCUCUAUUUCUCUGUACUCUGGAUUUAUCGUUCUCUCUGACGGCCCCAACCCCUUUAAAAAAAUAAAAAUAAAUAACACUUGAGGGAAUUUAUCA